rnacentral:rRNA from 1 species
GCGCAGCAGGCGAGAAACUUUACAAUGUGCGAAAGCACGAUAAGGGAACUCUGAGUGCCUCCUAAGGAGGCUGUUCAGGUGUCUAAAAGCACCUGAAGGAAGGGCUGGGUAAGACCGGUGCCAGCCGCCGCGGUAACACCGGCAGCCCAAGUGGUAGCCACGUUUAUUGGGUCUAAAGCGUCCGUAGCCGGCUGGGUAAGUUCCUUGGGAAAUUUGGCUGCUUAACAGUCAAGCUUUCAGGGAAUACUGCCCGGCUUGGGACCGGGAGAGGUCAGAGGUACUCCAGGGGUAGGGUGAAAUCCAUUAAUCCUUGGGGGACCACCGGUAGCGAAGGCGUCUGACCAGACCGGGUCCGACGGUGAGGGACGAAGGCUAGGGGCGCGAACCGGAUUAGAUACCCCUGUAGU